ACUUUGGCCGAAUUAGAAGCGUUAUGUACUCAUCUCUACAUAGGGUCUGACCUUACACAAAGAAUAGAGGCUGAGAAAGCACUCUUGGAACUUAUUGACAGCCCGGAAUGCCUCAACAAGUGCCAACUGUUACUAGAACAAGGAACAACUUCCUAUGCCCAGCUCCUGGCAGCAACGUGCCUUUCAAAACUUGUUAGUCGAAUCACCCCUUUACCUGUUGAACAGAGGAUAGAUAUCAGAAACUACAUUCUCAACUAUGUGGCAUCACAGCCUAAGCUGGCUCCUUUUGUCAUCCAAGCUCUUAUCCAAGUCAUUGCUAAAAUCACGAAGCUGGGGUGGUUUGAGGUUCAGAAAGAACAGUUUGUCUUCAGAGAGCUUAUUGCGGAUGUGAAGAAGUUCCUGCAGGGCACUGUGGAGCACUGCAUAAUAGGAGUAAUAAUCCUCUCUGAGUUGACUCAGGAAAUGAACCUGGU